rnacentral:lncRNA from 1 species
ACCUCCCAGUACCACCACUCUAGGGCCCAAGCCAUUACAUAUGGAUGUUCGGGGAACAUUCAUCUAAAUCAUAGUGAAAAAAACACAGGAAUUUUCUUCCUUCUCCUAAGUUCCUGUCAGCACACAAACAAGAAUAUCUGCCCUCUCCAAUGUACUAAAUAAAAAGAUGCUGCUAGUGAAACAAUGGACCCGUGGCGGAGGAGUAGCGCUCCACCCCCAUGUGAGAGAGUCAUCUGCUCCAGCAGAGGAUCGCCCUGCCCCCACAUGAGAGAGCAGACCCAUGUCAGAGGAGCAGAGUCCCACCACCAGGGGACACAGCAUCAAGGAGCAGCAGGGGUACAGACUAACCAACUAACCAACCAGCCCAAUCCUGGACAAGGACAUACCCAGGGAGAAAAGGGAGCAAUCAGACCCCAUAACUGUAGACAGUAAGUCCAACAGCCCACUUGAACCCCUGCCUUGCAGCCUAAAUCCAGCAGAGAACAGAGGGCUGAUUAUGUUCCCUGUCCCGGCCCGCGGUUACAUCAGCACCAGUGUCUACCAAUCCAGAAAAUUGUCUCCCAUCUAACCACAAGGUCAUGAGAGGUUUUUGUGCUGAAAGCAUCUCCGACCAGUAGACAUCGGAUGAGCCGAAUACCUGGCUGCCUCGGGCGUUGUUAAGAGCCUUAUUAGAGGUAGAGAGAAG